rnacentral:rRNA from 1 species
GAUGAACGCUGGCGGCGUGCUUAACACAUGCAAGUCGAACGGAAAGGCUCCUGCUUGCAGGGGUACUCGAGUGGCGAACGGGUGAGUAGCACGUGGGUGAUCUGCCCUGCACUUCGGGAUAAGCCUGGGAAACUGGGUCUAAUACCGGAUAGGACCACAUUUUGGAUGGUGUGGUGGAAAGUUUUUCGGUGUGGGAUGAGCUCGCGGCCUAUCAGCUUGUUGGUGGGGUAAUGGCCUACCAAGGCGUCGACGGGUAGCCGGCCUGAGAGGGUGUACGGCCACAUUGGGACUGAGAUACGGCCCAGACUCCUACGGGAGGCAGCAGUGGGGAAUAUUGCACAAUGGGCGCAAGCCUGAUGCAGCGACGCCGCGUGGGGGAUAACGGCCUUCGGGUUGUAAACUCCUUUCGCUAGGGACGAAGCGCAAGUGACGGUACCUGGAGAAGAAGCACCGGCUAACUACGUG